rnacentral:rRNA from 1 species
CACGUGAUACAAUGGACAAUACAAAGGGCAGCGAAACCUCGAGGUCAAGCAAAUCCAAUAAAGUUGUUCUCAGUUCUGAUUGUAGUCUGCAACUCGACUACAUGAAGCUGGAAUCGCUAGUAAUCGUAUAUCAGCAUGCUACGGUGAAUACGUUCCCGGGUCUUGUACACACAGCCCGUCACACCACGAGAGAUUGUAACACCCGAAGCCGGUGGAGUAACCUUUUAGGAG